GGAGGAAACAUCUGCUCAGAGGGUCAUGGAGGGGUUUCCUGCACAUGGAGGAUGAAUCAGAAAAAUCCUGCUCCCUCCAAUGAACGUUUAUACAUCACUUCAUUUAUUCAACCAGGAGAUGAAGAUUCGAUUUUGCAAAUUUAAAGUUUGAAAAUGUGGGGGAAAAAAAUUAUUUUCACAGUGAAACUUCUGGGGUCUGUUUCAUGAAGCAGGUUUUACAAACUCUGAGUUUCUUCCACAACUCUGAGUUGAUCUACUCUGAGAUAGAAAACUCUGAGUUUUCAGUUUCACAACGUCUGAUUUGAGUUGGUUUAAUCAACUCGGAGUAGUUUGACCGGGAGUUAAGCGCGUGCAACACAACUCUGAAAAGACAGCAUCAAUGGAGCUCCGAUUCGACGAGUCACCAUGGAAACGGGGAAGCGAAAGGCUGCGUUUUUGAAAUGGAAGUUUUUAACGCGCUCAUAUGGCGAGUUUGAACACGUUUUUAGAAAGAAGUGCAACACCGCUGCAGCUGUAAAAGAGAGAGAGACGGCGUGGAGAACAGCCCGGAUCAAUGCGAUGAAGAGGAUGAAACUGUGUCUGCUGCCUUUACAGAGGGGGAUCCAGAAAGGCAUACAGAGGAUGUUACUGAUAGUUCUCUUCUCAUUCACAUUUUAGGUGGAAUAUAGAGUGUGACAUUUAGCCUACACUGAAGUGUUGCACAUUCUCAUCCUUUUUAACAGAGCAUGGCUGGACAGCAGCAGGAUGGUUCCUCAGCUUCCACUGCACAGACUGACACAGUGAGAUGGAUGUUCAGGAAACACCAGAGCUUCAUUCUGUGGAAUUCAUGUGCAACUGUAUAAUUGAAUGUCCUCUAUGUAUUCCCAGUUAUCAGUAAAACAGAUUUACAAACUGCAUUUGCUGAGAAAAAUCCAAAAAACAGAUUAGGAGGGCAGAUCUGGAAAUUGAAAUACUGGAGCACAAGUUAGAGGUGGUGAUGGUCACAGGUGAAUUAUGUUAACUACUGGAACAUGAACUGAACUAUCUUUUAUUUGUAGGAAAUAAAGAAGAGCAAAUGAAA